rnacentral:rRNA from 1 species
GACGUAGGGCGCGAGCGUUGUCCGGAUUUAUUGGGCGUAAAGAGCUCGUAGGCGGCUCAGUAAGUCAGGUGUGAAAACUCCAGGCUCAACCUGGAGACGCCACCUGAUACUGCUGUGGCUAGAGUCCGGUAGGGGAGCAUGGAAUUCCUGGUGUAGCGGUGAAAUGCGUAGAUAUCGUAAGGAAGACCAGUGGCGAAGGCGGGUCUCUGGACAGUUCCUGACGCUGAGGCACGAAGGUCAGGGGAGCAAACGGG